GAUGUUGCCUGAAAAGUUUUGCAUGGAAUAAUGGAAUAGGACUUCGGUUCUAUUUCGUUGGUUUUCGGAUCCGAAGUAAUGAUCAAAAGAGACAGGCGGGGACGUUUGUAUGGCUGCGCUAGAGGUGAAAUUCAUGGACCGUAGCCAGACAAACUAAAGCGAAAGCAUUCGUCAAGCAUGUUUUCAUUGGCCAUGAGCGAAAGUCAGAGGCUCGAAGACGAUCAGAUACCGUCCUAGUUCUGACCAUAAACGAUGCCAACUGACGAUCCGUGGUGGUAGUUCAUCAACCUUCCCCACGGGCAGUCCCCGGGAAACCUUUAAGUCUUUGGGUUCCGGGGGAAGUAUGGUUGCAAAGCUGAAACUUAAAGGAAUUGACGGAAGGGCACCACCAGGAGUGGAGCCUGCGGCUUAAUUUGACUCAACACGGGAAAACUCACCCGGCCCGGACACUAUGAGGAUUGACAGAUUGAAAGC
rnacentral:rRNA from 2 species